ACACCUUUCUCGGUCUUUUGGCUAAGGUCAAAUGUAGUAUAUGAUCUUAUCAAUUUAAUAUCUGAUAUAUAGACUAUUGGUUCGCACGAUACUCUAUUUUUAAAUUACAAAGUCUCAUUAAAAUAGCUUAUCUAAAUUUUCGCGAGUGAUCCAUGCGUUGCGUUACAUUAUUGCACAGACUUGGCUCAUUCCC
rnacentral:snRNA from 1 species